CCAUGAUGCCCUGGGGCAGCAGCACAGAGCACAGAUAAACCAGACACAGAGGUGGCACCUGCAGGCAUCUGGCGCCAUAGCCUCCAAGCUGAUCACGUGGCCUCAUGGUUAUCCUUCUGGCACAGUCCGGCCAUCUGCCAUACAGUAGCUGCUCGGAAGAGAAACCCUCCUGGCAAAAGAAGGUGGAACUAUUUGUAGAGCCCAUCCGCCAUGAGCACUGGGAAUACUGCCGCAGGGAUACAGUGGACCGAGCACGAGUACCCUUCCUAAAUGUCUGGACCCUGUGUACCUGCCCAUUGGAGAGGCAAGAGCAGUCAUUCCUGUAUCUUAUUCGCCUGGCACCCCCGCAAAUACUAUUACUAUCGGUAGUCUACUGAAUUUAGGCUAUCCAUUGGACGGGAUUAUUAUACAAUCUCUCUUGUGUGGAGUAACCUCUUCCUGAUGUAAGCGACAGAACACAAGCGAGCUGUCUUUAAGGUGUAAAAUCCCACAUCCACCUAUUAAACAGUGCCCACAAUUCUCCAAGACCCGGACAAGCAGCAGAACUUAAGACACAAGCAGCAUUGGUUAGUGAGAAGAGCCAGG